AGUUAAGGGUCUGUCCUGAGGUCUCAUCUCCUUGUGUCCUUCGACACGUGUCCGUUCAUGUGCGAUCACAGGCAGCGCACCUGGUGCCCUGGGAAGAACCCGUGUGAGCCGUGAGUGUACCUGCGUCUCAUCGUCCCCUGGUGAGCGGUCUGUGCGUCCCUGGAGCUCAGGGCUCGUGGCCUGUAAGUGGGGCGGGGGGCCGAGAAUAAAAUACGGUUCCAUCUUAACUCGCACUGAGUGCUUGCUGUCAUCUAGGGAGGGAGGCAGACCCCCAGAAACACACUCGCACCAGAAGACGAGUCAAGGCCACGAGGGAACUCCCCGCAGACACCUGAGCACACUGUCCUCGCUGGCACUCUGUCCUGCGGGGACUGGAGACGAGAAACGCCCUGCGGACGUUCUGAGACCUCGUGUGAGAGAGAAAACACACUUGCACGAAACAGCUGGAGAGGGACAUGGGCCACGAGUGAGAUCUGUUUCUUCCAUCGUAUGGAGCUCACUUAAAAAUACUACUCACCUGAAACCCAAGAAAACCAGACUCGGCAAAGAAAGUCAGACCCAAGUCCCCGGCCACACCUGCCCUGAGCUGUGACGUAAAAGGUGACACGGUGCCCCCAGUUCCUUGUCAGCGAUGGCAUCUAUAACUCCGUGGCCCCUGAGUCCAAACAAGAAUUUUUUUUCCCCCGACACCCGACUCCUGCCUGUUCAGUGGAGUCUCCAUUCCAAGUCAGGACUCUGACAAUUGCGGGUGACUCCCGUGCACAGAAUUCCCCAACGGUAAAGCCAGGGAGGAGGCCUGCCCUGAGUCAGCGCUAUUGUUUCCCCUGGGUCCGCCCUGUCUGGGCAGCGCCCCGGAGGGGACUCAGCCGGGGCACCCAGGUGGCUGUCUGGCUGGCCCGUCACAAAAGCCCCAGUGAGUGUGGGGACCGGCACGGGACAGGGGCUUCAGGCAGGUCAGACUUGACGCUCAUCUUGACCCCUUGGCAGCCUGAGUCUGAUAAAGGCGUGAUUGAGCCCAGAUUUCUUCCUGACAGCUUAACUGAUGGCUCUAAUUAGGGGGCUGCGCUGGGGGUGUGGAGAUACAUAGACGCCAUUGUAGGGAGGCUAAACGCCAGAAAGGUCAAGGCCAAAACACGGUAUGAAAGGAGCUCAAAGUUUUCCAAUACGUAGGAGCAGCGAGUCUGGAGGGAGGCGAGUUUACUGAGCGUGACCGAGUCCGCCCGACCCUCUACAAGGACCGUCCUCAGGGGCGGGUCUUUGCGGCCUAAAGUCCAUCUUCACGUUGUGGCUUCAGCACCGUCAAGGUGGAGUCUGAGAGGUCGUCUGUGGAAGAUCGCAGAAGCCAAUGGACUUUCUUCUCUUCUCCAGGAACCAUUUUCCCCCCACAAAUAAUGGUGAUGAUGGUGACAAUAAUCCAAACACAAACAUAGAUUUUUCAUAUCUAAUUGAGUCAAUAUUUGUCAGGUCUGCUUAUACUUUAUUGUCAAAAUGAUGAUUAAUGAGAGUGGCUUGAAGCCCAAGACACUUUGUGAGACUUCUUAGGCCUUUUUCUUAGAAGCUGGAAGUCCCAGUGUGCCAGCCAGAAUAAGAUCCAGCUUAUGAUGAUCAAAAAUACUGUGAGUAAUGGCAAUAAUGUUCUCAGAAAGGGAAACAACAGCUCAUGGUUUGGACGGAAACCCAAGGAGCUGGUUAGUGAGACUCCCAGCCAUGUAGGGGUGAUCGGCCGGACUCGGAAGCAUUCUUACCUGGUCUCCGCACCGACGAGUUCAUUUCCUGGUGAGCUUGGUAAAGCAGACAUCUCGAAGGAGACUCGCUAAUCAGAGCGUUAGAUAGCCCCGGGGUUGGAGGGGAUUCGGGGGCCACAGUGUCCAAAGGUUUCGUUGUAUGUCUGAUAUCCCCGCCAAGCCGCUGACCCUCCUCUGCUGGGAGGAGCCUGCUGAUUGGAAGUUCUGCCUGUGCACACGGCCUACGCCAGUGUGGACAGCCACGAGAUUUAAAACCUUUUCCUAAUAAUGGAGCUAAAAGCUGUUUCUUACUACCUCCCACUGACUGGCCCUGCCGUACCCCUUGGCAUUACACAGAACAUGGCUAAGCCCCUGCUCUGUGUGUGUGUGUGUGUGUGUGUGUGUGUAACCAAGACUGUCCGCAUGAGUUGCAGGGCCCAGUGGAAGAUGAAAACUUACUGAAAGUUAUUAAGAAUUUCGAGGUGAUGACAGCAGGGCAUCGAGCCACACGUGGGCCUGCAUAGCUGUCCAGAUCCCAUAGAAUGUUCAGGUCAUUUUCAGAUAUUCAGAAGUUCAGUGCUGUCUUCGGUCAAAGUCCAAGCUCGCAUCUGCUCACUGCCAGGCCUGGCGGGGCCGGGAACCCUGCAGAGACCUGCGUCUCUCCUGCGUCUCCCUGGUGGCCUCCGUGUCUUCCUCACUCUACAGGUCGUGUCGGCCCCUUCGGGGAGCGAGGCGGUGGAGGAGAAGGUCUCCCUGCUUGCCGGUACAGAUGCAACUGGGCGCAAGCGCCCUCUGUGCUGAGACCCCAGGGCUGCCUCUUCCUCCCAAGGGGCUUCCCUGGGUUCCUUGGAGCCCCUCCCACUGGGGACAGCCACCUGCGGUUUUCUGGUGUGGGUGUCGCCGUCCUCCCAGCACACGGCUGGCGUUCACCUCGGUCCUCUUCAGCUGACGUCGCCCACCAUGCACCGCCCCCACUCCAGGGGCCCCCUCAGAUAGAGGGGCUUCCAAGCCAUGGAAAUGAGGCAUCAAGCCGGGGUUCUCCCUUGGGGUCUGUGUUUGGACCUGGGGAACCCUGUCUUUUUGUCCCACCUUUGGUACGAUUCACCCCAACUCAGUUUUCUCUUCCAUCUGCCAACACAGCCCUCCCCCACCCCAAGCCAGGACGGCUCCCUUCCUUCAGACUUUCUUCCAGAUGUGAGUCAGAAGCCAGUUCCACACUCUUCCCCAACCCGAGGGACAUGUGUCCAAGCCGCUGGGAGCGUCUCUCAAGCUCAUCUGGGCUGGCCUGAGCAGCGGAGAGCUCGGAGGGCACUCCACCCAGGGCUGUUCCAGAGAAGCCUCCCCUGUGUGGCUCCUUCCUAGGGGAGCCUUCGCCUUCCCUGCCAUCUGGAAGGCGGUGAGAGGCCAACGCCGCACAGGGAAUUCCCUGAGCCUCUGUCUAGGUCUGGGGUGCUGACGCCUGCUGCACGGGGUGAGGCGCUGGCAGGAGCCGAGGAGGUAAGGGCGUCCCACCUAGAGCCCUGCAGCACACGCGCUGCCCUGUGCAGCCUGGGGCCCCGUGGACUGAGGGCCCCCAGUUCGCAUGUUGAAGCCCUGAGCACCCCCCAUGUGACUGUAUUUGGGGGUGGGCUUAUCACAGAAGCAAUCAGGGUCAAACGAGGUCAUAAGGGUGGGGACAUGAUCCAGUAGGAUUAGUGUCCUUGUAAGAAGAGGCGACAGGGCUCUCUCUGUCUCUGCCGUGGGAGGACACGUUAGAAGGCGGCUGUCUGCAAGCCCAGAAGGGCGCCCUCGCCAGGAGCCAGACCUGGCAGCACCUGGUCCUGGACGUCCAGCCCCUGGGAGUGUGAGGAGUGACUGACACUGCCGAGGUCACCCAGUCUGCGGGGGCUGUCCCCAGCUGACAGGGGCAAGGACUCCGCUCGUUCCCCAGUGCUGCCCUCUUGGAUGUGGGCAUCUUCCGUCUCUUCACCCUCCCCCAGGAGACCCGAAUGUGUUCGCUCGCCUCUCGGAAUGGAAUCUAGUUUGUUCACAGAGUGGAGUCGCACCUGCCACAGGGACCGAGCUGCAGCACGAGGUGGAAACUGGAUGCACCUGUCAGUCUUGGAACGCACUGUGAUCUCUCGUGAAGUGGAAGGAUGGGGCGCGAGGUGCUCAAACGUGAGUAAAAGGCCUGCCUCGGAGCAGUUUGGACUCUAGCAGAGAGAGACACGGUUUACGGUAAACAGAUGAUCCCCCUGAAGCUCAUUCCUCGAGCGGCUGUGUCGCGGGAAAGCGCUUUGACGGUGCAGGGGAACGAGCACCUGCGUUCCAGGCUCAGGGGCCACGUCCUGCAGGCUUGUUAAAAGCAGCCUGACUCCUCUGCCAAAGAUGCUUUCCCCUUCUCUGCACCAGUCAAACCACAAGAACAAGCAAAGCUUCGGGCAGAUGAGGGACCACACGGAAGUUUCAAAAGUUGUGCCAAAGCGUCCGUGGCGGAGCUGAGAUGUGACCUUCGAGAACACGCAGAGCAGACAGCUGGCCGAUUCUCCUCUGCAGCGGCGACCGCUUCCUUGUGAAGAACAGGAGUGGGAUCAGCUGGAUAGCCUGUCGGUCCCUGAAAGCAGAGGCCGGAGUGCUGGCCGCUCGGGUGCCUUCAGCACGGAGCCUGGUGGGACCUCGCCACACAUCUGUUCACCUGCGCAUUGACGAGUCUGCAAGGGAAAGAAUCAAAGUAAAGACCACGGGUUCUGACUGUCCCACACGCGGAAACAUAGCGGGGAGGACGUUGCCAGUAGAGGGUCCCCUUUCUAUUGCUGGGACCCUGGGGUCCCAGUGCCCUCCCGACUCCCCAGGGCCAAGGUGCCCUUACAGAGCGUCUGUUUCCCAGGAAGCAGCUGGUACUCCCACCUUCCUAUUCCUUAUGUAUUUUAUAGAGGCUUGGAAGGGAGUCGAAGCAGGUGGAAGCUGUGUGUUCCAGCGUCAGACACACCUGAGCCCCGUUCUCGGCUCUCUCAUCUGCUGUGUGAUCCUAGGCAGCUUGCUCAGUAGCUCGGAGCCUGUUCUGUAUCUGCAGCCUCCUCAGAAGAGUCCUGGGCAGAGAUGGGGGACACGGGGUCUCUGCUCAUCACAGCCACGCAGGACUCAGGCUGAGCCCGAAGGAAAUGCGAGCUCCCGAGGGUCUCUCGUUGGCAGUUCAAAUGGGCAACAGGCUCACUCACAUCUGAUGAGCUGGGACCAGUCACACGGUGCCUCCCACCCACCGCAAAGCGUCCGGGAGUGCAGUCCCCACAGGCGCCAGGAAGGCGGAGAGCAUGGCAUGCUUGGCAGUGAGCGCCAUGCGGAGACCGGCCGGCGCUCUGGUGGGCGAGCACCCAGGACCGCCUCCGCGCUGCCCGUGUCUUA